rnacentral:ribozyme from 1 species
AACAAGAGAAAGAGGAAGAAGAAGAAGAGAUUGAAGAGCAAUUUACAAAUUGGGAAAGUGACAAAUGUUUAAAUUUCGAUGCAUUCCACUCCUCUCUCUCUUCCCUCUCCAAAUCUCUCUCGUCUUCAUCUUCCCCCUCCUCCUCCUCUCUUCCAGGAAUUGUUGUUUCUGAGGGCUUCUUAUUGUACAGAAGAAAGAAAAAUUGGACUGAUUUUCAUAUAAAAAUAUUUUUAUUUUU